ensembl:lincRNA Gm12162 predicted gene 12162
UGCCACUGCACAUCUGGCUGGAAGGAUGGAGGGUAACCUGGAAUGGGCAACAUUCAUGAUUCUUCUCCGAUGUUGUAGAAGGCAUGGGAAACUGGGCUCUGAAGAGUCCCCACACUGUGAAGUAGGAGCGUAGGGUCAGUUUUGGUUAGGAGGA